rnacentral:rRNA from 1 species
GCAAUACAUGGCGUACUGCUCAGUAACACGUGGACAACCUACCCUUGAGACGGGGAUAAACCCGGGAAACUGGGUAUAAUACCCGAUAGAUCUCGACUGCUGGAAUGCAUCGAGCUCCAAAGCUCCGGCGCUCAGGAUGGGUCUGCGGCCUAUCAGGUAGCAGUGGGUGUAGCGUACCUACUAGCCUACGACGGGUACGGGUUGUGAGAGCAAGAGCCCGGAGAUGGAUUCUGAGACACGAAUCCAGGCCCUACGGGGUGCAGCAGGCGCGAAAACUUUACAAUGCUGGAAACAGCGAUAAGGGGACCUCGAGUGCCAGGUUACAAAUCUGGCUGUCGUGAUGCCUAAAAAGCAUUGCAUAGCAAGGGCCGAGCAAGACCGGUGCCAGCCGCCGCGGUAACACCGGCGGCUCGAGUGGUAACCGUUAUUAUUGGGUCUAAAGGGUCUGUAGCCGGCCGGAUAAGUCUCUUGGGAAAUCUGGCAGCUUAACUGUCAGGCUUUCAGGAGAUACUGUCUGGCUCGAGGCCGGGAGAGGUGAGAGGUACUUCAGGGGUAGGGGUGAAAUCUUGUAAUCCUUGAAGGACCACCAGUGGCGAAGGCGUCUCACCAGAACGGACCUGACGGCAAGGGACGAAAGCUAGGGGCACGAACCGGAUUAGAUACCCGGGUAGUCCUAGCCGUAAACGAUACUCGCUAGGUGUCGGCCACGGUGCGACCGUUGUCGGUGCCGUAGGGAAGCCGUGAAGCGAGCCACCUGGGAAGUACGGCCGCAAGGCUGAAACUUAAAGGAAUUGGCGGGGGAGCACCACAACGGGUGGAGCUUGCGGUUUAAUUGGAUUCAACGCCGGAAAUCUUACCGGGACCGACAGCAAUAUGAAGGCCAGGCUGAAGACUUUGCCGGAUUAGCUGAGAGGUGGUGCAUGGCCGUCGUCAGUUCGUACUGUGAAGCAUCCUG